AAGUGUUACAGCUCUUUUAGAAUUUGUCUAGCAGGUUUUCUGGCUUGUGCUGGAACCUCG
rnacentral:snRNA from 1 species